AUUGAACGCUGGCGGCAGGCCUACCCCUUCCAAUUCAACCGAUGAAGGGAGGUUGCCCCUGGAUUCAGGGGGGGGCGGGGGAGGAAUGCCUAGGGAUUUGCCUGGGUGUGGGGGAUAACGUCCGGAAACGGGGGGUAAUUCCGCCAACGUCCCGAGGGAGAAAGGGGGGGGUCUUUGGGACCUCACCCAACAGGUGGACCUAGGUGGGAUUAGCUAGUUGGGGGGGUAAAGGCCUUCCAAGGCGACGAUCCGUAACUGGUCUGAGAGGAUGAUCAGUCACACUGGAACUGAGACACGGUCCAGACUCCUACGGGAGGCAGCAGUGGGGAAUAUUGGACAAUGGGCGAAAGCCUGAUCCAGCCAUGCCGCGUGUGUGAAGAAGGUCUUCGGAUUGUAAAGCACUUUAAGUUGGGAGGAAGGGCAGUAAGUUAAUACCUUGCUGUUUUGACGUUACCAACAGAAUAAGCACCGGCUAACUUCGUG
rnacentral:rRNA from 1 species